rnacentral:rRNA from 1 species
GACGAACGCUGGCGGCGUGCUUAAUACAUGCAAGUCGAACGGAAAGGCCCUGCUUUUGUGGGGUGCUCGAGUGGCGAACGGGUGAGUAACACGUGAGUAACCUGCCCUUGACUUUGGGAUAACUUCAGGAAACUGGGGCUAAUACCGGAUAGGAGAUCCUGCUGCACGGGGGGGGUUGGAAAGAUUCGGCGGUUUGGGAUGGACUCGCGGCUUAUCAGCUUGUUGGUGGGGUAGUGGCUUACCAAGGCUUUGACGGGUAGCCGGCCUGAGAGGGUGACCGGCCACCUUGGGCCUGCGGUACGGCCCAGACUCCUACGGGCGGCAGCAGUCGGGAAUAUUGCACAGUGGGCGGACGCCUGUUGCAGCAACGCCGCGUUCGGGAUGACGGCCUUCGGGUUGUAAACCGCUUUCGCCUGUGACGAAGCGUUAGUGACGGUAAUGGGUCAGGAAGCACCGGCUAACUACGUG